GCUUGUUGGAAAUGUGCCCUAAAACCAAUCAUAUGAUGAUACCUUAUGGACAUUUCACAUGUUAAACUAAUCUAGUUUAAUAUCAAGGGCACAUAUUAUUGUUUGAGCCGUCUCAUAUAAAUGUUAUAUGCUUAAACGAUAAGUCCAAGGAAUAUGUGAUUGGGAGAAUGCAAUCUAAAGAAGUUACAUUCAUGAGACCAUUCUUUCGUAGACACAUCCUAAACGUUCCUGAUCAUAGGAUUGCCAAAUGGGCAUUGACAGUCCGUUAAGAUCACUACGUGCUGUGUCUUCUCUCAGGGAGAGUGACUAGUCUCGAGUCAUUGGUGUGUGUGACAUCAAGACAAGUACGUAGGUGCUCAAUAGAGAAUGAGUUCACUGAACACGAUCAACGAAGAGUGCUCAUAUUCAUGUCACAUGAGAACUCAUGGUUGGGAUAAUGCAAAGUAGUCAUUUGACCUGAGGCAUCAUAGUUGUCUUGUGGUUAAGUCCUUGAUCUUUGAUUAUGUCAAAAGUCACUCCAAAAGGAGGGUGUCCACGACAUAGUUAGGGUUAAGCCACUUAGCUAUGGAGGCAAGUGAAUGCGCAACAAGGGAUCUCUAACCUUUAAUCUGUUUGAGGGAGAAUACUCUAUGAUAUGAUUAAGAAUCUCUGGCCAGAGUAUGAAUAAGAUUUGGGAAAGUCGUUCCAAAUCACAUUUAAGGUAAUCAUAUAAGCACACGAAUCACAUUGGAUAGUAGACAUGAAUAAACUAUCAAUCCAAACAAUGUGGUCAAGAGUAUUGUAUUAGAGAAAGACUGUAUUGCAUUUGUAAUCCUAAACUGAAUAGGUUCUCCACCUCUUCUGAUUAGCUUGGGUAACCAUGAUAUGCUGCUAGGUGUCAUUCUUGGUUUGUGGAAGCCCUAAACGUGUAUAAACACUAAAGGGAGAAUUGAAAGUAAGUUUCAAUUCACAAUCUAUUUGAAAGAGUUUUAAUCGCCCACUGCCUCGCUAAAAGGAACCUAAUGGAUCGUACACCGUGUAAGGUGGAGAUUGAAGAAACAAUGGAGAUGAGUAAGAAUAAUUAAAUUGUUUAAUUAUUUAUGGCAAGGAUUAAUUAAAAUGUUAAUUAAUCAAACGAAUAAGUUCGUUAAAGACCUCGGGAUAGUUUUGGACCUUAAGGCCCAAUGGGCUUCGAACAUCAAGCCCAUUGACUUAAGUUGUAUGACAAUUUAAUGAAUAAAGAUUCACAAAGGCCCAAAAGCCCAAAUCCCUUAUGUGGCCGGCCAUGUGUGUUGAAUUAGGGUUUUUGGUUCUUUAGGUCAUUUAAAGAAGUGACUAUAUAAAGAACUUUAUAGCCUAAAAUUCAAAAAGGGUUUCUUUUAGGAAAUUGGAGAGAACACAAAGCAUUCCUUUCUCUCUAAAGAGGCCGGCCCCCUUGGAGGGAUUCGCUAGCAAUCCCACUCCUCCAAGGUCACUCAUUUCUUCUCCAAUCUAACCUUGGUGUAGACACUUAGAGGUUCUCAAUUUUGGGAACUUGGAGAACCAUAUUCUUGCAUCCAAAUCCAUGGAUCUAAGAAGCAAGGAAUGAAGGCCCUCUCUUUGGGUGAAUAGCCUUUGCUUAUGCAAAGAGGAAUCUACAGAGGUAUAAAUUUCAACUCACUUUGUUUUGAGUUGAGUCUUGGUUCACCAAUCUACUAGGCUUUGAAUUUCAUGGGUAAUGUGUUUUUGAAUGCAUGCAAGCAUGAUUCUGUUGGAAAUAUGCCCUGAAAGUCAAUCUUUGGAAGAAACCUUUCAGGACAAAUGAAUCGAUGUAUGGA
rnacentral:lncRNA from 1 species